GUGCUAGCCUCAGCAGCACACGUACUAAAUUUGAACGAUAUAGAGAAGAUUAGUAUGGUCCUUGCGUAAGGAUGACAUGCAAAUUUGUGAAGUGUUCCUUAUUUUU
ensembl:snRNA U6 U6 spliceosomal RNA